rnacentral:rRNA from 1 species
GGGAAACCGGGGCUAAUACCGGAUAACAUUUUGAACCGCAUGGUUCGAAAUUGAAAGGCGGCUUCGGCUGUCACUUAUGGAUGGACCCGCGUCGCAUUAGCUAGUUGGUGAGGUAACGGCUCACCAAGGCAACGAUGCGUAGCCGACCUGAGAGGGUGAUCGGCCACACUGGGACUGAGACACGGCCCAGACUCCUACGGGAGGCAGCAGUAGGGAAUCUUCCGCAAUGGACGAAAGUCUGACGGAGCAACGCCGCGUGAGUGAUGAAGGCUUUCGGAUCGUAAAACUCUGUUGUUAGGGAAGAACAAGUGCUAGUUGAAUAAGCUGGCACCUUGACGGUACCUAACCAGAAAGCCACGGCUAACUACGUGCCAGCAGCCGCGGUAAUACGUAGGUGGCAAGCGUUAUCCGGAAUUAUUG